rnacentral:rRNA from 1 species
GACGAACGCUGGCGGCGUGCCUAACACAUGCAAGUUGAGCGACGAACCAGGGCUUGCCCUGGGGCAAAGCAGCGAACGGGUGAGUAACACGUGGGUAACCUACCCCGAUAACCGGGACAACCCGAGGAAACUCGGGCUAAUACCGGAUGUGCUCACUGGACUUCGGUUCAGUGCGUAAAGGAAGCUUCGGCCUCCGUAUCGGGAGGGGCCCGCGGCCCAUUAGUUUGUUGGUGAGGUAACGGCUCACCAAGACUGCGAUGGGUAGCUGGUCUGAGAGGACGAUCAGCCACACUGGGACUGAGACACGGCCCAGACUCCUACGGGAGGCAGCAGUGGGGAAUCUUGCGCAAUGCGCGAAAGCGUGACGCAGCAACGCCGCGUGGGGGAAGAAGGCCUUCGGGUUGUAAACCCCUUUCAGGAGGGACGAAGGUUCGGCGGUGAAUAGCCGUCCGGACUGACGGUACCUCCACAAGAAGCCCCGGCUAACUACGUG